rnacentral:rRNA from 1 species
CAAUAGCGUAUAUUAAAGUUGUUGCAGUUAAAAAGCUCGUAGUUGGAUUUCUGGUUGAAGCGACCGGUCGGGCGUUGAUUAGUCUGCACUGGAGUCGGUUUUGGCCAUCCUCUAGGAAAGUGCGUCUGGUAUUAAGUUAUCGGGCGUAUGAUCCUGGUCUUUUACUGUGAAAAAAUUAGAGUGUUUAAAGCAGGCCUUCGCCUUGAAUACAUUAGCAUGGAAUAAUAAGAUAGGACUUUGGUCUAUUUUGUUGGUUUGCAGACCGAAGUAAUGAUUAAUAGGGAUAGUUGGGGGUAUUUAUAUUCCGAUGUCAGAGGUGAAAUUCUUAGAUUUUCGGAAGAUAAACUUAUGCGAAAGCAUUUACCAAGGAUGUUUUCAUUA